CAUGUGGUAGUAGUUGUGCAAACCAUCUCCCUGUGUAUUAUGCUAACAGUAAUUGUGAUUUUGCAACACUGGCAGGUGCUUUUAUUUCUUGCAUUAAGUAAAUGAAUGCAUUAAAAUGUUAGCACCUUUCGUUAUGUCAUGGGUAUGCUUUUAAGUAUUCAUUUUAUGGCCAGGUAUACUUAAAACUUUAGCAGUUGUUCAUCCUAUGUUUUGUGCAGUUGAUAGUAGUGUGCAAAAUAAGGACUGUUUGUAAAUGAGUCAUUCAGCUUUGUAAAGUGUAAUUGGUAUGACACCUGUUCUGUCAAAGAGUAAUUUUUUUUUUUUUUUCUUUUUUUUUGGGGGGGGUGGAUAGGUAGAUGUGUUGGGCAUCUGUCUACAGUAGGGGCUCGUAGUUGGGUCUUCAAGUUUUUGUCUUUGAGUUCCUUUUGCCACUGUUUCUGAUUUGAUGGCAGAGCAGGUUGCUGUGAUUCCAUAAUGCUUUCAUUUCCCUCCUUUCCAAAAAAACUUCUUGAAGAGUCUUGUUUCCUUGUCUCUUAAAGGGAAAGGCUUGUCUAUUUUUGUAUGUGUGUGCAUAGUGUCAAAGGCUAGUCACUGGACUUGUGUUUGUUUAUGGUUUAACUUUCCCAUUGCUGAAUUGAUUCUGCAGUGUUUCCUCUUUGUGUUAGGUACUGUUCUUUGUGUUUGCUAGUAUUUGUCUUUGUUUUGUGGUGCUGAAGUGUAUUUCCUAAGAGUUUGUUCACUUGCAUCCACCAAGUAAGGCAUGGUACCCCUGGAGGUAUCUCACGAAAUGUCUAGGUUGGGGUUGGUGGAGGUUUUCCUUUGGUUUUUGAGUGGAGAAGGGAGGUUGGUCAUCUUAAGUUAAGUUAGAGCUCUCUGCUGGCCGUAAUAAACUUAGAAAAAGCUACGUAAUUUUCAGACUUCUUUACAAGGGCAUUUUGAUAAAUAUAAUGUUCUGAUGCAUGACUCUCAAACCUGGCUUCUGUUAUUGGUGGGAUUGCCGUGUAAAGUGAUAUUGUUGUAUCUAUUGAAUUAUAACCUCAACAUUUGAUUUAAUCAUCAGUAGUGACUGAGGGUAACUGACCAGUGACACUUUCAAAAUUUUAACGGAAUAUUUACUUUUUUUUUUUAUUUUAUUCAAAUAGCAUUGUAAACUUUUAAAAGGAGGAUUUGUAAUACUUUCUUCCAGUAAUACCCAGAGUGAGUAUCUUUCUAAUCCUCCUAAGUUUUUAUAGAUGCACAUUUACUUGGAGGGCUAGUGCCCUCUAAUUGUGCUUCUUAGGACCAACGUAUUUACAAAUUCUUCUGUACAGGGCGAAAAUAAGCAGUGCUUUCCUGUUGAAAACAGGUUGGACAGAUAUAAACAUUAAGACUAAAAGUGAUACAUGCUACAUUAUACUGUACCUUUUGUUUACUAUAUAUAAUUUUCCAUGCUUGUGUUUUAAUGCUCCUUUCUGGUUAUUGGAGGAGUCAUUUAGGAAAUUCUUCUGUGCCAUAAAUACUGUAUUAGUCUCUCCAUGUUUAUUUUGAAAGAACAUCUGAAAUAUUCAUCACUUCUAGCAGGCAAACGCUCAUUGAAGAAAGAGUCUUUGUGAAUGCAUAGUAAUGGAUACUAAGGAAGAAAUGUACUGAUGCUUUUUCUUACUGUUUAUACUGUGUGUUAUCCCCAGUUAUGCAGACACUUCAAUUUCAUUCCUGAUAAUGGAAAGUCUACAUAGAAGAGAUACAUACUUAAAAAUUCAUUCACCUGUAUUUCAAAAGACAUAUUAUACACCCUGCUUCACUUACUAUAAUUUUCCCUUUAGCUACUUAGCAGUGUUCUCACUCCAUCUGGCAGUGCAAUGCACCCCUCUUUAAAAGUAGGAAAAUGUUUGCAGUCAUGUGCAAUUUUAUUAACACAGAGCUCAGAAGAAUGGGACAGUUGAACAUGGCAUCAUAAUUGUCAGGGAAAUCUACACUUGUAAAGGAUAGACAGCAGUGACACCAGUAAGGAAACCUUGUGCAGAUCAAGAUACAGCUGUUGAAGUAGUACAGUCCAUGGUCUUUCUACUAGGUUCUGUGGAGCCAAGGCUGCUAUUUGGAUGGCUGCAGAUGUUUGCUGCGUUGAUAGAGAUUUAAAACAAAAAAAAGGAAAAGGAAAAAAAAAAGGGGGGGAAGAGACUGUGAGAGCGAUCCAGAGUAAUAUAUGCAGUGCUAAAUACAAGCAAGUCAAUGGAUGGAAUUGCACUGCAGUGGAAUUUUACAGAGGAAGAAGACAGAAUGGUGUAAUACAUGUUGGAAAGGAUGUUGUCCAGAAAAUACUGACCUUAUUCUUUGUGGUUUUUAAAGGGACAUUAUUACCUUGGAACGUAUUCCUUCAGUAAACACUGAUUAAAAUUGC